rnacentral:lncRNA from 1 species
UUAAUCUCCUUUUAUUCAUGAGUAUAAAUAUUCUUAAAUGUUCAAGAUAUUCUACUUAACUCAUGACUCUUUAACUUUUUGAAACCAUAACUGGUAAGUGUGUAAACUGGUCCGUUUCUUUGCCCAAACAUGCAAAACUGUUUAUCAGAAUAUGUAUGUCCGUGACGUGUAGAUGACUCAAAAUGAGAACAGAAUAACCAUAUAAGGAGGUUGUUAGCACGUGUUCGCUGUGAAUAGAGAUUAAAAGAAACAAACUGACCACAGCUUCAAUGCAGGUUGUCCAUAAUAGCGAAUUCGGUAAGCAGGGAAGUUGAGUCGCAAAUAAUUCCCUAUUCACACCAAAGCACUUCAGGAUAGAAAAGGUAUUUUGAAAUGAUGCUUAAGUUGGUUACAAAUUGAUUUCUGCAUGAUUCAUUAAAGAGAGGUUUCUGUUUACAUUCAGCUGUGCGGAAAACGACCAAACAUCCUUCGUGGAUGACCCUUCCUCCUGUGAUGGUGAUAAGGAAGACCAAUUUUCAUUUAAAGCUUUUCGUUUCUCUGGUCAAACGGGGAGUCAAAAGGUUGUAUUUACCAUCACAGCCAAAGUUUGUUAUGACGGUUCUCCUGGGUGCGAUUGCAAUUGUGGCGCUCGAAAAAGGCGUAGUACUUUAGACGAGACCUCGAAAACCUUAUACUACAUUAGAGCUGGUCCUUUCACGUUUGUAGAUGCUGAUGAAGGGGAAGAGCAAGCUGACACCGUUGUUGAUGGGGAUAAAGACUCGUCUGUUCCUAACCAUGUUGUCACUGUUGGGGUGGUCGGUGGAGUCGUGGCUGUCGCCAUUGUUUGUGUCGCUGUCAUCAUUGUGCUGCGCAAGCGUCGCCAUAAUGUAACACUGACUGAAUCAAGUGGCGCUCAAGAAUUCGCUACUCCAGGCGUGUGAGUUUUUUGCGACAGGAAUGCCUCCUAAUAUGGCAUUAUUUACUCACGUAGACAAUGAAGAACUAGUUUUUCUUGAUAGCUUUUCGGUUUUGUAAUCUCGUAGAUGAAAAUAUAUGAAUAGUGCUGAGACGUUUUUUAGAAGAAUUCGAUACACUACUCCAAAAACACCGAAAGAUUUAGAGAGAUGGUGAUAUCAAAAUCCGAACUUUUGACCGGGCCUGUUGACGCAGGAGAAGAAACAAAAUAUAGGUGGAGCCUAUAAUUUUUUAUCUUUUGAUACAAGUCAUUUGCAUUAUUUUGCUUGAACAAAGACCAUGAAGGAGUUAAAAAGUAAGUCUCAAUUGUUGCAAAACUGUUACAAGCAACAGUUCUAAAGACAAUUCCAAAAAUAGAAGGCAAAGGUUAGGACCUAAGAGACAGUUUUGUGUUUUUUCUCGUACGAUUUAUCAAUAGGACUGGAAACCAUAUUUCAGAAAGCACAGGGAGAAACAACUUGUACUGCAGUUUUGAUUUUUUUUGCAAUCAUUAAAAUAUUCGGUCAUCAGUCUGUUUAACUGAUUGAUCCUCUUAUGUUUUGCGAUCGCUUGAGUUUCUGAAUCUUGAAUCCACUGAAUAUUGAUUCUAGCUUCUAAGCUACGUCAUUGGCUAAUUGAAACACUUCAUUUUUCCACUGAGUGUUUCAUGAAUUACUAAGCAUCAUAUUGUAUUUCUUAAAUUUUAGAGCAAGUGAUUAUUUUUGUAGUGAAUAAUAGCGGCUUUUCAACAUUAGCGAUCAAAAACUUGUUUUUGAGUCAUAGUUUAUAAUGGUUCUGGUUAAAAAAGCUGACAAAAAUAAAAGAUGGAAAGCAAAGGUUAAUUUAGGUAAAGAUCAAAACUCUCUUGGGGAGUUCAUCUUUCCCACGAGGAGUUGGAUCUUAAUACAUAAGUAUUCGGAUUCUCAGGUUUUUGGGUAAAUAUUCAGCAGUGCACUUCCUAUGUAACCUACAAUUAAAAUUUUAAAUGAAUAAAUAGUUUAUUCAAGGCACUU